GAUUGGCUCGUUCUUGAUCAGGUGACCAGCUCUCAUCCAAUCAAAUUCCCUGCGAGAAAUACCUCUCAGAGAGAUACUACAUCCAGAAAGCUAGGUUCCAGCGGGUGGAGGGCUGCUCUGCUCAGGACUUUGUAACCUACAGCGGACACAUUGGACAUGAAGCCUGGUGACAAUUACACCAGAACCUUUGGCAUGGGUUCCUACAUUUUUGCACUUGUGCCUUUAAGAACUGUUACCGGUCUGAGCCGCGCUCAGCAGCUGUUUAGUGGCCCAAGAAAGAGCCAGGAACAAAUCCCUGCUCUGAAGGUCUUGCUUGCCUAGGCACAUGUGUCUGUCUCCGCUGACAUCACUCUGUCAAUCAACCCGAGUCCAAGGAAGCGACAAGAAACUGUAGCACACCACCAGAAGGUUUCUGGUACAGCUUUUCCUCUAUGGAGUCCCGACCAGUGCAGCUCAACUACACAAUGUAAGGCGGACCGAUACAUGCGUGUAGAGUCGUUCUUGAAGAAUCCUUCAUCACGUGUGUCCUUUCACAUGCUUGCUUUAUCAGAACAACCAUUCACCUGUGUCUGCUUCAGCAAAACCUUCAGAGUCUGCCUUAGCCUUUCACCUGGGUCCACUUCAGGAAAACCCUCCUUCACCUGUUGGCCCCAGCAAAACGCCAUCUGACACAACUGACUUUCCAAAGAACCCUUAUGUUUCCACUUCAAAUGCCAGCAUCCUGGUGGGGGUGGUGGGAGUGGGUAUGGUCCUGGGGUCCAACAUCAGUUAUCUAGUAGAAGGUUCUUCUGGAGGAGGGUCUGUGGCCUGAGCACAUUUGCUGAUGGUACACAGAGCAAAAGAACAGGAUGGCUCACCAACUAAAAGUGCCCGCCUAAGAAAGUGGUGUUUCAUACAGAGAGGGCAGGCGUUCUCCAAGGCAACACCACGUGCGCUGAGGCCAGUGGCUGGGACAAAGAACCUGAGGUAUUUUAUCAGGGAAUAUCUAGAGACAUGUCCUUGCCUUCAGAUCCAUCACCCAGGACCUUAGCAUGGGCAAGGCGCAGAGACACCUGCAGCUGGGAUCGCAGGCCCCCGGCUGUUCCCACAGGUUUCUCUGAGCUCUAAGCUGCUCUCCCCCAUUCAGGUUUUAAGCCAAGUGCUAUUUUUUUGCUGCCAGUACCAAGAAACAAGGAUGAUGAAUUGUUUGGUGCCAGGAACAAAAUAAAGAAGGACAAUGGAGGUGAAA